CCCACCCAUGGAAGGAGGAAGCUCACAUACAGAGUGAAGUAACUUGCCUACACUGGCCCGGUUUGUAAGUAGCCAACUCAAGAUUCGAACCAAAUCCAGGCCUCACUGGAUCCACAUUUUGAGGUCUUUUCACCCUGAACCUGGAUAAGUACUCUUUCUUAAGGGCAGACUUGGAGACAAAUGAAGAUGACAAAUUCCAGAGGAAUGAAAAAAUUCCAGAUGUUCUCUGUUUAGAUUCAGAAAUGCUUCCUCUAUGGUAUCCCUGAACUACUGGCUGACUUGCAAAACAGAAACUUAUAAUUGACCAUCCUUCCAUAUGUCUUCUCAGGAUCCACUCACUCACAAUAAAAUAAAUUAAUAUUUAUUCAUUUCAUUGGGUGUGUGCGUGUGUGUGUGUUCCCACACACGUUUAGGAAAUUUCUGCAGUUAUUAUUUGCAAAUACUGGAUUUGGUCUCAGAUAUCUAUGACAAGAUCACUUAAUACUUUUUUUUUAUCACUUAAUACUUUUAAUUAAUACUCUUUCUCUCUCUCUUCAUCCUUUCAUUUUAACCCCUUCUACCACUUAUUCUUCUUUUUCUCUAACCUGAAUCACAAAGGUAGAUUCGGGGUGAGCAUUUGAAAACCGUGUCACUUCCUUCCUGAUUCUGCCUCGAGACGUGAGGAAGAAAGAUGCUUUUGCCAUCCCAGGUCUAAACUUUGUGGAUACUCUUUUGUACGAAGCUGUAACCACAGAGGAUAGUCGGAGAAAAUGCCUUCAGUCCAGACUGUUUCCCGGGGCCUGGACUGUAUCUCCACGUGGAUGAUGGACACCCCUACAGAAAUCAAGACUACCCGACAUCCACUCCAGUGGUGGUGACAUAUAUAGACUAAGGAGACUCUGCCCUUACUUGAACUUUGUGUCUUCUGAGGUUUAGAUUAGAUCCUGAUAGAAAAAAUUGUUCCCAAAUUAAAACAUAUAAGAAAAUGAGCGCCUGGGCGGCUCAGUCAGUCAA